AAACUACAAUUUUAUAGUUUUUUUGUUUCAACUCAAAGUGUUAAGAUCUAUUUAAAUAUAGUUAAAGAAAAGAAGCUAUGUAAUUUUUACUUAUAAAUUGAUCAAACAAUUUUCAAUUUAUCACAUGCAAAGACGUAAAAAUACGAUGCAAACUCUCAAGUUUAUUUAUGCUUUCAUAAUCUUCAUUUCUUUGUUUCUUGCUAUAACCAAUGGCAAUCAAUUCCCCUGCAAAAUUGACGUUGAUUGUCUAAUUAAAGAUUGUUUUCGUCCUUUUAAACCGAUGUGCAUUGUUUUGAAUUGUGAGUGUGUGUUAGAAUAUUAAUUAGGUGGAAUGAUAAUAUGUACUAAUAAGCGUAUGAUUUUAUUUGUACGUCUAAUGUUGUUAAUUUUAUAAUUUACCUUACAAUUGCAUAUGAUU